CAACCCAAACACCUGCCAGAGAGAAGGGCACAGAGGGGAUUGAGAGAGAGCGAGCGAGCGCAGAGACAGGAAGGCCGGAAAUUGAGAAAGAAGGCCAUGCUUGCAGAGAGCGACUGAGAUUUGAAACCCAUGCCUGCCUCAGCUGAUUAAAAAGAUGCAUAUGGCCAUUCCAUGGCUGCUGCUGGAAAGAAUCAAAUGGAAAGUUAAAAAAAUAUUUUGUUCCCAACCCCAAGAUCAAGUUUGAUUGGCCAAGACAGCUUGGUCCGACGGAUCCUGAGAGGACGAUCCGGAGAGCAAUCGAACAUGCAAAGAUACCAUGUCGAGAAUGAUGCUUGGAUCUAGGCCCGCACCACCCCGUUUGGUCAACCUGCAGAUGUGCACUUGCCUAUUGACGGAAAUCGAAACAGCCGAGUUCAUUUGUGAUUCCUCUUCUGAAGUGGCAUCCACAAUAUAGUGCUUACGUACCUGAAAAACACAUGUACAUGAUUCAGUACAGGGCAAAAAAGCAUUUGCAAUUCGCUAAGGGACAGAAGAGAUGGUUAAAUUUUGUCACCUUUGUUAAUGUAACUAUGACAGGGACCUUAGAUGCGUCAAAUUGCAGAAAUUCCUCAUCGCUUACAUCAACCUCUGGUUGCUCAUCGCCUGAUGCACCAGCUGCAACAUUUACUCUUGGGAUGCCUGUAUCGCUCAAAGCGGCCUUUGGGAACAUCAGUUUCUUUUCCUUUCGUUUUUUCACUUUAUUUGGAAACAACUACGUGCACUUUAACUCUUAUCAAUUGCCACCACCUCUCAUCGGGGACGCAGGCAGAAGCCCUGCUAACCUGGAAGAACAGCUUCGACUUCGGUGAUUGACCUUCUUCUCUCGAUUCAUGGUCCCUCACCAACCUCAACAACCUCUGCAACUGGACUGCCAUUGUUUGUGACUGGCGACCGCAAUACCAAAACAGUUUCCAAAAUAGAUAACGAACAAUUUUAAGUCUUACUUUUAUUUGAGCAGCCAAAUUUUGAGUAGAGUUGACGGGAGGGGUUCCAGGUGGACAGAGUGGGGUUUGGGUGCGGGAUUACAGGGAGAGAUGGUGAGAGGGUGGGUGCGGUCAUGAUCGAUUUGAAAGGUGGGAUGGUGAGAGGGUGGGUACGGUCAUGAUCGAUUUGAACGGUGGGGGUUGGGGGUUGGGGGGGGGGGUGGUUGGGGGGUGGUUGAGGGGAUGGAGAGAGAGAGGUGUAGGUUGAGGUGCGGGUGUAGGGUUGGUCAUUUCCACACCAAAAAACAUCAUCCUCUUUUCAGUAAAUAGAAUUAGUACUAGCUGAACAGAGUUCCUCUCUGCAACUCCUCCUCCAUUACUGCGUUCGAAUUUUCGACAAUGCUGAUUGCUUUCCUCGCUUUUUAUCCAUACCGUUUGGUUCAAAGAAUGAAAACACGCAUUCCUACUUUGCGAACUCUGUUUCGUUAUCUCUUCAAUCCCUGCUUUGCAAUCUCCGUUGUUCACCCCGCCUUCUCAUCUCCGUUGGUAUUUCCACCAACCAGUGAAGUGUCCGGAGUUUGAACAUGAAAUGCCCAGGAGGCCGCCCAGUGCAAGAGGGAAUCCAACAGCUGUAGACUCUGAUUUACUGGCUUCAAAAUGGAGAAGUUAUUUCUUGGUUCACUUCCGUUGCGUAAACCAACUUCUCAGUUCAGUUCUCAGAUAUGAGGUUUCUCAGCUACCUCUUUUAUGUAAUGAAACAUUUGAAUAGUACUCGCAGAGAUAUCCCAUUAAUUAGGUUAGUUUUUGUUUAAUUGGGAUUCUUAAAUUUGAUAUUAGGGAUUUUAAUUUGAUUGGGUUUUAGAUUGCAUUGUACACUGUUUCUGGUAUCUUUAGCAAAAUAGGAUCUUUUUCUGGGGAUUCUAGAAGUUUAGUUGAACGCUAAUAUUAAAUUUCUAACCCUUGUGGUGCCUCUCUCUAUUUGAGAUUGAGUUGGUGCCUCUCUCUAGUUGAACGCUAAUAUUAAAUUUCUAACCCCUGUGGACAAUGAGCAAUUCGGAGAUUUAUCGCAAUGCAAUUUAUCAUUUCCACGGACCACCUA